rnacentral:tRNA from 1 species
GCGCGUGUGGUGAAAUUGGUAGACACGCCAUCUUGAGGGGGUGGUGACCUUAUGGUUGUGCUGGUUCGAAUCCAGUUACGCGCA